rnacentral:lncRNA from 1 species
AUGCCUCCUCUGCCUAACUCCAGUCACCCAGAGCCUCGUCUCGUGGGUCUCCAGCCUCCUGGUCCAAUCGGCUGGGGCCGCCUCUCAUCUUCCAGGACCCGCCCUCUCCCGCCGGAAGCGCCCUCCUCCUGGCGGAAACAGCUUCUCCCCGUCCCGCCCCUCAGUCGGCUCUUCACACGGAUACCACGAAUGCCACGGUGGCCUCCUGAAGACGGAGUCCGGUCUCACAUUCCUCCAGCUUCCUGUGGGGCUCCCCCAAAAAUGGAAAUUCAAUCACAAGGCGCCUGGGCUGACGUCUCCCCUCCUAUUUCCGGCUUUGCCCUUUGGAGCCUGAGGAGCAAGGGUAGAAUGAGGAUCGUGAGGUUCUUCAGAGGCAGUUACUCACGAGGUCACAGCGCAGAAACGGCAAGAAAUGUCAGGACAACUAUGGAUGUGAAGGAUGGGAGAGGGGCUUCCUUCCGCAUGAGGUCCCCAGAGGUAUUUGUCUCCAUCUAGAAACUGAGGGGCAUUUGUCUCCAUCCAGGACUUGGGGGGCCUCCUUCUCCAUCCAGGACUGGGUUGUGUCCUUCUGCAUCCAGGACAGGGGGACAUCCUUCUCCAUCCAUGAUUCAGAGUUCAUCUUUCUCUAUCCAGGACAGGGGUUCAUCCUUCUCCAUCUAGGACUUGAGGGACAUCCUUCUCCAUCCAGGACUGAGAGGCAUCCUUCUCCUUGCAGUACCUGAGGGACAUCCUUCUCCAUUCAGGACCUGAGGAUGUCCUUCUCUGUACUCCCUUGGGACUGCACCCUUUCCUGUGCCAUCCUUCAGAAUGCUAGGCUGUCACUGGUUGUGGAUUGAACUCUAGCAUCUUAUCUCUAUUCUAGGUGAAUCCCUUCACAUUUAUAGUGAUUUACCAUUUAAUCACUGUGCCAUUUUCCCCAAAAUAUGUGGGGUUUGGGGUUUGGUUUUUGUUCUUACUUCUAUUAAUUCUUCGGUUCCCACCUCCAGUUGUUUUGUAAUUUCUUUUACAACCUAAUAUGGUCCCAUUUGGUAAGUAUUACCAUGUACUAGAAAAUAAUGUAUAUUCAGUAUUUGUUGUGAUUUUUAAACCUUUAAUAAACUCAUAAGAUUUUUGUCUAUUUUCCAUUUAAAUUGAGAAGUACGAUCCCAGUGUUCCUCUCUCGAUCUGCUCCCAUUAGUCUCCAUGUGUGUCCUGGAGGUGAGGUCAGCAUUGGACUUAACCCUGUGUCACCUCCUUGGUUCUACUGCUCACCUGUGGCAUCCAUCCUGCUGUUUAUUAUUUUUUCCUUAAAUUGUAUUUGAACUAUUAAUUUUGCUACAGCAACUUGCUUUCUGUGAAUAUUUACUCAGUAGUUUCAUUUCCAUUCUUUUUUGCCCUUAAUUUGAAAGUGCUGCUUUGCUAUUGAUAAUUUUGUAUUUUAAUAUGUGAGGUUAAUCCCUCUGUGUUUGGUAGGAAAAAGUGAUACAUUUGAACUUAUUUCUAUUAUGUGAUUUUGGAUUUUGGAUUUGCAAAACUUUAUCCUUGAUUCUCUUUUCCUUUCUCCAGACUUAUUUUCAACUGACAUUUCCUUUUCCAUUUCCUUCUUAUGCUGAUUUGUAGGUUUUCCAGCCUAUUUACUGUUCUUUAGUGUCCUACAUUUUAAAAUAAUUCUUAAAUUAUCGACUAAUAAUUUUAAGCAUAUUGGAUUUGCGGUUUUCUCCCAGUGCUCUAGUUAUAAUCUCUUCUAUCUUGUCAUUUUAUUCUUGUUAUUUUUCUAUUAAUUCCUGAGAUAUAGGUAUUAGAAUUGUCAAAUUGUGAAUUUAAGCAUUUACCCUUUAAAUUUGGUUAUUUUUGCUUCGUAUAUUUUGUUAUUUUGUAUCAGGUGCAUGCAUGCUUAUGAUCAUUAGGUUUUCUAAGCAAGUGGACUCAUUAAUAUAAAAUGUCCUUCUCUGUCCCUGGCGAUGCUGGUCCUUCCUGUCGUCUGUCUCAUCUGCCAUCCAUACACCUGUGCAGCCUCCUGAUAACAAGUAUUUCUGUGGUAUACAUUUGUCCAUCUUUUCAGCUUGAAUCUAUUUGUAUCUUUAUCUUGAAAGAAUGUUUCUUUGUAAAAGCAUAUCGAGGCUUGCUUUUUACCUGCAUUGACAGUCUCUUUUUCAGUGGCAGUGUUCAGUCAGUGCAGAUCUGCUAUUCCUGUGGUUGGGUUUAAGUCAGCACCUGAACCUGUUAUUUCCUCUGUUCCGCUUUCCUGGUCUUCUGGAUUAUUGUAGUUUUGCUUUGUCUGUUUGUUUGUUUGUUUAAUAAGGGUUUUUUGGUUGUCUUUUUAGUAUGGAUUUUGUACCUUGUUUUUUUUUAACUAUGACUUCUUGUUUUAUUUAUUUUCAGUGAGUCAUUUAGAAAUUAAAAUAUAAAUACUUAAAGUCUCAUAUUAAAUAAAGAUCAUAACAUUUUAUAUAAAUAUAAAAUCCUUACUGCACCCUCCUCUCAGCUUCUGUACCAUGUUGUCAGUGAGGUUUCUUCUGCAUAUGUUGUAAUUUCCAGAGGAUGUCAUUAAAACAGUAAUUUUCCCUCCACCAUUUAUUGUUUUUGGUACUCUUUAAUCUUUUUUGUGAACUAGAAUUUCCAAUUGUUGUCAUUUUUCUUCAUCCUGUUUGCAUUUAUUGUGGUUUGGGUGUGAUGACCACACAAUCUCUCAGCCUUUGUUUAACUGAAAAUGUACUUUUCUCAACUUCAGUUCUAAAGGCUACUUCAGCAGGUUCAGAAUUCCAAGGAAACCUACUUUCAACAGUGUGAGGUCUGUACCCCGUAGUGCUCUGGGCACCAUCGUCUCUGAUGAGGUGGCUGUAGCGGGAGACCUGGACCCUGUGGGGCUGCUGCAUGGGGGGACACCCACGGUUCACCUGGACCCUACGGGGCUGCAGUGUGGGGGGACACCCACAGUUCACCUGGGCCCUGUGGGGCUGCCACGUGGCGGGGGACACCCACGGUUCACCUGGACC